CGCCUGUUUUACAAAAACAUUUUCUUUAGAUUUUAUUAAAGAUAAGGCCUGCUCAAUGAGAUUUAAAUGGCCGCAGUAUAAUGACUGUGCUAAGGUAGCAUAAUAAUUUGCCUUUUAAUUGGGGGCUGGAAUGAAAGGUUUUAUGGAAAAUAGCUGUUUUAAAAUAAAUAAUUGAAUUUAAGUUUUGCAUAAAAACUUGCAAACGUUCUUAAGGGACGAGAAGACCCUGUGGAUUUUUAUUUGUUAGACAAUAAACUUUAUAAUAUUUUAUUUUUUAGCCAAAUUUGGUUGGGAUGACAGCAAAAUUAACUUUGUUAAAAAAUUAAUACAGAUCCUUUUUAAGGAAAAGAACAAAUUACCCCAGGGAUAACAGCGUAAUACUUUUGGACAGGACAAAUGGAUAAAAGUGUUUGCGACCUCGAUGUUGAAUUAAAAUAUCUUUAUUAAGCAUAAAUAAUAAAAGUAAGUCUGUUCGACUUUUAAAAUUUUACGUGAUCUGAGUUCAGACCGGA
rnacentral:rRNA from 1 species